GAAAGGAGGUGAGGUUUCAUAGACAGUGAGGAUGUUGGCUUAGAAGCAGCCACCAUUUAAAAAAUGCGUAAUAGCUUACUCAUCGAGAGACCUUGCGCCGAAAAUACUUGGCGAUAAGCACUAUACCGAAGCUCCGGGUGUCAUAUUUAACUAUAUGGCGCGGUAGAGGAGCAUUCUCUAGACAGUGAAGGGUGAUGGUGACUGACCCUGGAGUGUAGAGAAGUGAGAAUGCAGACAUGAGUAACGAUAAGGCCGGUGAAAUCCCGGCCCGCCGUAAAUCCAAGGUUUCCCGGGCAACGUUUUUCGUCCCGGGGUUAGUCGGGACCUAACCCGAGGCCGAAGGGCGUAGGGGAUGGAAAGCAGGUUAAUAUUCCUGCACCCAGUUAGGAGGACGCAUGAUCAAAAGCUACUAAGUUAUUGAAUUCUGAGGUGAUACUACGGUUGAUCCGCAUAGCUAGAGAGAGUGCCAAGAAAAGUCCUAACAUUAAUGGCCCGUACCGUAAACCGACACAGGUGGAUGGGUAGAAUAUACCAAGGCGCAAGAGUGAAACCUAGUCAAGGAACUCGGCAAAAUAGCCCCGUAACUUCGGAAGAAGGGGUGCCUAUUUUUUAAUAGGCCGCAGUGAAAUGGCCCAACCGACUGUUUAGCAAAAACACAGCAUUGUGCUAAGACGUAAGUCGACGUAUACGAUGUGACACGUGACCAAUGCCAAAAGAUUACGGUAAGGUGUUAGCCCUCGUGGCAAAGCUCCAAGCCCAAGUCCUGGUGAAUGUCGGCCGUAACUAUAACGGUCCUAAGGUAGCGAAAUUCCUUGUCGGGUAAGUUCCGACCUGCACGAAUCGUGCAACGAGUUGGGCGCUGUCUCGACUAGAUGCUCAGUGAAAUUGUAGUGCCGGUGAAGAUGCCGGCUACCCGCAGAAAGACGGAAAGACCCUAUAGACCUUAACUGUAAGCUGUUACUGGUUAUUCGAUUUUAAUGCUCAGCAUAAGUGGGAGACGUUGAAGCGUGUUUUUAGGAACAUGUGGAGUCAUCAGUGAGAUACCACCCUUUAACAUUGGAUGAUCUAACCCUAAGCCGUCAUCCGGCUAGGGGACCGUGGCAGCCGGUCAGUUUUACUGGGGCGGUAUCCUCCUAAAGAGUAACGGAGGAGCGCGAAGUUUGGCUCAGCACAGUUGGUAACUGUGUGUUGAGUGUAAAGGCAUAAGCCAGACUAACUGUGAGACCUACAAGUCGAGCAGAUACGAAAGUAGGCCUUAGUGAUCCGGCGGUUGAAUGUGGAAUUGCCGUCGCUCAACGGAUAAAAGGUACCUUAGGGAUAACAGGCUUAUUUCGCCCAAGAGUUCAUAUCGACGGCGAAGUUUGGCACCUCGAUGUCGGCUCGUCGCAUCCUGGGGCUGGAGAAGGUCCCAAGGGUCCGGCUGUUCGCCGGUUAAAGCGGCACGCGAGCUGGGUUCAGAACGUCGCGAGACAGUUCGGUCCUCUAUCUUCUGUGGGCGUAGGAAAAUUGAUGGGUUCAGAUCCUAGUACGAGAGGACCGGAUCUGACGCACCUCUGGUGUUCCAGUUGUUCUGUCAAGGGCAUUGCUGGGUAGCUAAGUGCGGCACGGAUAAGCGCUGAAAGCAUCUAAGCGCCAAGCCAUUCCAGAGAUUAAUUUUCCCUGAAGGAUCGUGGAAGACCACCACGUUGAUAGGCUGAGGGUAUAAGUGCAGUAAUGUAUGUAGCUCAUCAGUACUAAUCAUCCGUUCGACUUAAUUCC
rnacentral:rRNA from 1 species